ACCUUCGUGGUGUAGUGGUCAGCAUGCUCGACGCCUAACUGAGAGGUCCGUGGUUCAAUUCCCGACGAAGGCG
rfam:Stegodyphus mimosarum contig13646, whole genome shotgun sequence.